GCCCCUGUAGCUCAGCGGAUAGAGCAUCGGCCUCCGGAGCCGUGUGCGUGGGUUCGAGUCCCGCCAGGGGCGCCA
rnacentral:tRNA from 4 species